AGCUCUUCGUUUUGGCGGAUGAUCAGUCCAAACUCGGGCGAUGGCUGAUCGACAGCGCUAGGAGCGGCGGAAGGAUGAUUCACCGCAGGUACUGGUGCUUCUUUGUAUCUCGAGCUGUCACUCACUCUCAGUCCUUCCUUGAAGAAGCAGUGAUCGAUGGUGUCUCUGAGCUUGGCUUGCUGGAGAAGAAGAAUCUGGAGUGCCAGUCGUGCUGGGAACCGUGGGUUUUGCGCAGCAUGCUUGCAUCCCUCGAACGACAGCUUCUGGUAAUUCACCACCUUGCAAAGUUCCAUGGUUUCGGACUCCGAGACUGCUGGAUGUGCCUGAUCCAUGCAACAAACGUUCCAUGGAUGAGCGAGCUUUUAGUUGCAAAGUCUCUUCUUCUAACGUGAGUUUGCAACAGGAAAGAAGAACACUUACCUGCAGAUACAAAUCCAAAGCUCGGUAGAGCCCGUCGUGCAUGAGCCUGGCCGAGUCCGGCAGUGCUUUGGCCACUGACUUGAACUUGAAAGGCUUAAGCUGUGGAUCCGCUGCGAUCUCCACCAGGUAUUUAUCAAUCAGAUCCGCAACUUUUGUCAGCGAGUGCUCGAACUUUGUCAGGGCCCUACGGAAGGACGUUCCUGACGGUGGCUGAGAAGCCAUGAUGGGACCGUUGAUUGGAGUUGGGAAAGUCAUCUCCGAGAAG
rnacentral:lncRNA from 1 species